ensembl:lncRNA
CAUUAAUAGCAGAAAGUGCAUAUUCAUGCUUUUGCUGUGAGGCAACGUACCCUGAUAUCUGCCUCUCUUCUCAUUUUCACCUUCCCCUCUAAAUUGCUCACAUUUUUCUCAUUUGUACAUUCCUGAUGAGUAAAGCAAAUUUAUUUCACCUGAGAGCAAGGAGGGAGGUAUCCAGUGAUAAGGCAAGAAUUUGAUGAGUAGCUGUGCAGUUUUUUCCUUUGAAAGCUCCUCACUCAACUUGUCCACCCUUUGGUGAUUAUUUCCUUUGGAAAUAGUUUUCUUAAAAACUACUUGGAUCUUAAGAACUUCACAUGCAGAGGACUGCUUUUGGGGUCCAGGAGUUUGAAACAGAAUAAGAUACUACAUUAGCCAGUGACCUGAAAUAAAAGCAAAUGGAACUCAGAAGAGCUUGCAGGGGUCAGGCAGUCCACGAUCUCCCUUACAGCCAGCUCCGUUUUACCCAGGCCAUUACUAGAAAAUGUCAGUUUGCCUUGUUCUUAAGAACAUCUCCUUAAAAACAUCCUCAAUCCUGCUACCUCAAGAAGCCAACUGUUCUGCUCUUCGGAAAGAAGCUGGGCCUCAUUAAAGUAUACUGAGGAAGAUGAAAGGGAAAGGUGGAGACUGAAGGUGAAAAUCAGAAGGUUUGUUAAGAUAUCCAUAGAGAAAAUAUUAUUUUGAUGUCAACUAAUACAGUUGAAGGAGGUUCAUAGAACAGAACUGAAAAGGAGAAACAGGAAAAGGGACAGGUUUGUGAGGCUAUGUUUUGCCUAGGAAACAAUUCCACAUUUUAUUUUUAUACAGUUAUUUCUACCUGGUUUGUAGACUUUUUUUUUUUUUAUGGAUUUACCAACAAGUUCUGAUGUUCAAGACUUGUUUGAAGCUACCUGAACUGCAUUUUGCUCUUACAGAUCCUGAAGACUGACAGAUGCACUGAUCCAUCUUGGUGCAGUGCCAACAGUGGCAGCAGGUUGUGAACUACAUUAUGUGUCACCAGCCCAUAUGGCAUGAUCAGACAUUAAUUAUUUCUCAAGAGUCAGUCCUCCUGAGCCUACUCAUUUGUUGCUCUCAUUGACUACUGCCCCAUCUCAUUAAUCAAUAUUCAUUUCUACAAAUCUCUGGUGCAGUUGGUUAGCAGACCCAGAGCAAGUAAAACUAUAAAUACAGUAUUUGUAGCACUGAGAUUCAAAAUUUAAAGGCCUGCAAGGAUGUCUUCCUAACUCUUACAGUGCACUGGAUAACAGGCUUAGAAAAUGAUUGUAUGGCAUAGAUGUGCUGAGACCUGAGUACAAGAGAGGCGCUCCCAGGCACGUUUUGUCUGUCCAUACUAAAUUAUGUUAGUUGGCACAGAUUGAGCUUGUCAUCAUAUCUUAAUCUGAGGUACGAACUCUAGCAGGAUUUUUGGGGGGAGGGGCAGUAACUGGUCAUUUCUUUCUCAUCAGGCAGCAGAAAUGAAUGCUGUGAAAAGCAUUCAAUUAGAUUUAUCAAUUCCUUUUCCCUGUAUUGGUUUUUUUUUUUCUGCUUUAAUUAUCUCCAACUAAAAUAAAACUUCCAUUCUCCUUCUUAAACUGAAAAGCACCUGCCAGAAGUCUUCCACUCUGUGCUCAUAUUUUUCCUUAUGCUCAAUGAUUGUUUCAAAACACACUCGUAUCCCUAGGGGAAUUUCACUCAAUCAAGGAGAAUCUUUUUCCUUUUGCAUCACUCUUUUGGCCUAGGAUGCCCUGACUUUUCCAAAUCCCUUGGAAGCUUUCUCUGUAUCUCAAAUUUUGCUAUAUAUAUCCAGGAAAGCCAUUCUUAGGUUUGCAAAUAUUGCUCCUGACUGAUAGACAUUUGGUUCUGUUUUCACCUGAACUAGACAAUUUUCAUGUGGAGGAAGGAGCUCUCAUAGAAUCAGAAUCAUGGAAUUGGAAGGGACCUUUAACAUUCAUCUAGUCCAACUCCCUGCAAUGAACAGGGACACCUACAGCUAGAUCAGGUUGCUCAGAGCCUGGUGCAGCCUGACCUUGGAUGUUUUCAAGGAAGAGGCAUCUACCACCUCUCUGGGCAACCUAUGCCAGUGAUUCACUAGUCUUAAGCUUUGUCAAGCCUUGGACAUGUAAUUUAUAUAUGAUAGUAAAUAAACAGAUAUGACAGCAAGCAAAAUAAAAAUAUAUUUUUUAAAUUACUGGAACUCCUCUUAGUUCUUGAAGAAGUACUUUCUGCUCAGAGCUUGAGUCUGAGAUGCCCUAGGCUAUCCCACCUAGCCUCCAGCUCUGACCUAGGGAUGCUUACAUCACCUGUAGGUCCUGGGGCUGUCAUGCCUGCCCUGUGUAGUUCUCUGCUUGCCUCACAUGCAUUCUGUAUGGCAUUCUGUAAAGGCAUACACACUGGUACCUUUAUGCUUCUAAGCACAUUUCCUCACACAUUUUCUCUUUCUUUUUCUCUGUUUUACCCCUACACUCUCAGCUUCAUCCCUGCUUUUCUCUAGCCUGUGAAAACUGGGGUCCCUGUGUUUAAGAGAACAAUUAAACCCUAACUUUUUUUCAUAUUGCCAUCAAAUUAAAGGAUUUUCUAUGCUCAUAGUUUCUCUCUCUUCUAGUAAGAUUUUUUGCUGGAAGUUAAGGGACUGCUCCUGCACUUCUCAAAGACAUAGCAAAGAUUCCCUGGAAGAAGAGUUUAUAAAACAAGAAAGCCAUAGAGAAGAUGAUGAGAGAGAAAGGGCAGAAGUGGAGCAGAAGAGGGAGAAAACUCACCAGUGAGAUUGCACAGAUGUUCAGCAGGGAAGAGAGCAUUGCCUGGUGGAAGGAAGCAGCUAUUAAAUGGAAAAUAAAUAACUGUCAAGCCCUGUUGUUGUGGAAGAAAGAAGAGGGCAUAGGGAGAGGACUGCAUUUGGAUUGUCUGUUUUGCAUCCAGUAUGCAGCUGUGAUAGAACAAGAGUCAUGGGUUAAAGCAGAGGACUUGUUCAGUUCAUCUUGGUUCAUGCUCAAACUCUCACUAGAGAAGAGUGGUGAGUCAUAUACAGUGGUCCACGCAUGGGAUGCUAACUUCAGGAGACAGUUGCCCAGCCAUGGAAGGAGGGAAAAGACUUGAUAACAGCUCUCAGGAGGUUUGAGCAUCUCUGUGGUAAUGUCCCUGAAAAUGUGUAAUGUCAACCAGGAGUGAAAAUCUCUGCAGGGAGGAAGGAAAACACAGUGUCUUUGGUUCACAUCACUCCAUGGAGAGGAGGCUCUUGAUGCACAACGAAGCCCUCAUAUAUGUCAGUGACCGACGGAAAGCUGGAGACUAAAGGGGGUGGAGGAAAAGUGCAUUAAAAUAAUAAAAAAUGUGUUAUGAAAUUUCAGUCAAAUGUAUGUAAAUCUUUAUUAAUUAAAGGACUUCUCAACAUGAUAAUGUGGCCAUGUAUUUCUUGGCAUUUUCACAAAUGAGGAAGCGCAGCUUUCUUCACUGGCAAUUGAUCUGCUUCCCAGUGUUAACAUUAACAUACUUGAGACUUUACAGCUGUUAACUUGAUGACUUUACAAUUGAUAUGAAACAUUUCCCAUACUGUCUUAAUCUUGUAAUCCAGAUUCUGCCACCUUUGGUCAUCGUGCAUGGCAUCAGUUUAAUAAAUAGGGUUGUUAUUCU